rnacentral:rRNA from 1 species
CAUGCAAGUCGAACGAAGCUCUGCGAUACAAGACUUCGGUCAAGUUGAACGGAUGACUUGGUGGCGGACGGGUGAGUAACGCGUGAGGAACCUGCCUUUCAGUGGGGGACAACAGUUGGAAACGACUGCUAAUACCGCAUAAUGUAUUCUGACCGCAUGAUCGGAAUACCAAAGAUUUAUUGCUGAAAGAUGGCCUCGCGUCUGAUUAGAUAGUUGGUGAGGUAACGGCCCACCAAGUCGACGAUCAGUAGCCGGACUGAGAGGUUGAACGGCCACAUUGGGACUGAGAUACGGCCCAGACUCCUACGGGAGGCAGCAGUGGGGAAUAUUGGGCAAUGGGGGAAACCCUGACCCAGCAACGCCGCGUGAAGGAAGAAGGCUUUCGGGUUGUAAACUUCUUUUACCAGGGACGAAGGACGUGACGGUACCUGGAGAAAAAGCCACGGCUAACUACGUGCCAGCAGCCGCGGUAAUACGUAGGUGGCAAGCGUUGUCCGGAUUUACUGGGUGUAAAGGGCGUGUAGGCGGAGAAGCAAGUCAGAAGUGAAAUCCAUGGGCUUAACCCAUGAACUGCUUUUGAAACUGUUUCCCUUGAGUAUCGGAGAGGCAGGCGGAAUUCCUAGUGUAGCGGUGAAAUGCGUAGAUAUUAGGAGGAACACCAGUGGCGAAGGCGGCCUGCUGGACGACAACUGACGCUGAGGCGCGAAAGCGUGGGGAGCAAACAGGAUUAGAUACCCUGGUAGUCCACGCUGUAAACGAUGAAUACUAGGUGUGGGAGGACUGACCCCUUCCGUGCCGCAGUUAACACAAUAAGUAUUCCACCUGGGGAGUACGAUCGCAAGA